AGAGAGAGACAUGCGCGCAUAUCAAUAAGCGGAGGAAAAGAAACUAACAAGGAUUCCCUUAGUAACGGCGAGUGAAGCGGGAAGAGCUCAAAUUUGAAAUCUUCAAGGUUUUACCUUGACGAAUUGUAGUUUAAAGAAGUGUUUUCUGCUGAAGUUUUGGUAAAAGUUCUUUGGAAUAGGACAUCAUAGAGGGUGAGAAUCCCGUAUUUGACCAUUAUUUUCAGCUUUGUGAUACACUUUCAAAGAGUCGGAUUGUUUGGGAAUGCAGUCCAAAAUGGGUGGUAAAUUUCAUCUAAAGCUAAAUAUUGGCGAGAGACCGAUAGCGAACAAGUACCGCGAGGGAAAGAUGAAAAGAACUUUGAAAAGAGAGUUAAACAGUACGUGAAAUUGUCAAAAGGGAAGCGUUUGACACCAGUGUUGUUUUCUCGAAAAUCAAUUAAAAAUGGCUCGAUUUUGUAUUGCUGAGACCUUAAAAGCUCACUGUACAUUUUUCGUGUCUUUUUUAAUGCACUUUUCGUUUAACAAGUCAACAUCAGUUUCUUUUGUUGUAAAAGGGUCAUUGGAAGGUGGCUUUCUUUUCGGAGAAAGUGUUUAUAGCCUUUGGCCUCUGCAGUCGGAAGAGACUGAGGUCUGCAGCGUAGACUCUUCGGGGUUAGAUACAUUUGUGCUAAGUUAUAGCUUUUUAUAGACAACUUGUUGACUAUAAUUAGUCUUGUAGCUUACUCGCUUAUGCUAUUUUACCUACGCUUAGGAUGUUGAAGAUGUAGCACAUCAU
rnacentral:rRNA from 1 species